rnacentral:rRNA from 1 species
UACCUACGGGACGCAGCAGUGGGGAAUAUUGCGCAAUGGGGGAAACCCUGACGCAGCAACGCCGCGUGAGUGAGGAAGUAUCUCGGUAUGUAAAGCUCUAUCCGCGGGGAAGAAGGAAGACGGUACCCGACUAAGAAGCCCCGGCUAACUACGUGCCAGCAGCCGCGGUAAUACGUAGGGGGCGAGCGUUAUCCGGAUUUACUGGGUGUAAAGGGAGCGUAGACGGCGGCGCAAGUCUGAAGUGAAAGCCCGUGGCUCAACCGCGGAACCGCUUUGGAAACUGCGAGGCUGGCGUGCUGGGGAGG